UGCUGUUAGUAAAACAGAGAGUCCAUGCCCAGGCGGGAUGACCCACCAAACACUGCUCUGCAGCUGUGGUCUCUUAUGUGCUAAAUAUUUCUAGCAAUAUACUUAAUCUUUGUUCUUUUCAAUAUGUGACACAGCUGGAGCUGGACUCUUCUGAUUUUUAUAUAUAUAGCAUCUAUAAUAUGUGCUAAUAUUAUGGUAUUUAUAGCAGGUAAUUAUGUAGAAAAACAAAGGUAAAUUGACCUGGUGCUUUGCUGCCCAGCAAUAAGCAGAAGAAUUACUCAUAUUCUGGAGCUGUAGGUAUGAAUGUGCUGGACCUCUGCAUUUUAAGUUCAUGGUAUAUGAUACAUGUCACAGAUAUCUGUUUAAAUCACAGAAAGAUUCUGACCACCAUCUUUUAUCAUCAAUUCAAUUGAAGCAGCCCAUGGGCUGCUGAAGGCAGAAGCUUUUGCCAUUGAUUUCCCAGCAGCAGGGAGUGCUGUGCUUGCUCUCCCCAAAAGUCCCGUGUAAGGAGCCAGCUGCACUUUGUUAAACUGCUUCCAUCCUUCCAGCUUGGAUCUCCCAUCAAAUCAGCAACAGCUCUGCUUGAAAUUACAGUGGUUCAUUUCUUUGCAAGCAGCUCUCCCAGUGCCCAUUGUGCCAGCAGGAUAGAAAUUGCUGCCAAACCAGCAGCCACAGGUUUGCAAAAACAGACCCCACUCAAGUGGCUUUGAGGGUCUCCCCAGGAAUAUCCAUAGGCUGCAGGGUCUCCCCAAGCUCUCCAGAUGGGGGAUGCCUCCCCAAGAAGAGUACAAUAAAGAAGUCGUGCACGCUGACUUGUACUGGCACAAGUGCUCUUAUGAAGAGUCAAUUUCUCACUGGAAAAAAUUACAGCUAUGAAUUGGAAGGUUGUGUUAAAUGACUAAGUUCAGUUGAAACAUGACCACAGUACUUGCAACCUGGCACACCAUCCUUGGAUUAUCACUCUGGUGUGAUCACUUAUCUUCUUAUUCCUCACUGCUCAGGACUGUAAUGCUGGAGAACACAGUAAUGCUGGAAGAAGGUUACAGAAUAAGUGUCUGUACAGUCAAAAGAGACAGAAAACUAAAGGAUCUGCAACCACUGCAUAAAUAAGCCACUUGACACCUUUAAAAGCUUCAACUCACUCUAUUUUUGGAAUAAAACUAGCAUCUGUGCUGACAGCUUAUAUGCCAAGUUUCAGCUUGAUGCAAAUUUGAGAAAUCCUGAAUAAAAACUGCUAAAUCUCAAGA